GACGAACGCUGGCGGCGUGCUUAACACAUGCAAGUCGAACGGAAAGGCCUGCUUUCCCUUGUGGAUUGCGGGUACUCGAGUGGCGAACGGGUGAGUAACACGUGAGUGAUCUGCCCCCAACUUGGGUAUAAGCCUGGGAAACUGGGUCUAAUUCCCGAUAGGACUGCAGGGUGGUGCCUGUGGUGGAAAACGAUUUUCUAGUGGUUGGGGAUGAGCUCGCGGCCUAUCAGCUUGUUGGUGGGGUAAUGGCCUACCAGGGCGGCGACGGGUAGCCGGCCUGAGAGGGUGGACGGCCGCAUUGGGACUGGGAUACGGCCCAGACUCCUACGGGCGGCAGCAGUGGGGAAUAUUGCACAAAGGGCGGAAGCCUGGUGCAGCGACGCCGCGUGGGGGAUGACGGCCUUCGGGUUGUAAACUCCUCUCGACCGCGAGGAAGCCACCUGGUUGGAAGGGUGGUGACGGUAGUGGUAGAAGAAGCACCGGCUAACUACGUG
rnacentral:rRNA from 1 species